rnacentral:rRNA from 1 species
AGUAAAGUGGCGUACGGGUGAGUAACACGUGGAUCAUCUACCUUUUAGUGGGGAAUACCGCUGGGAAACCGGCGACAAUACCGCAUAAGCCCGAGAGGGGAAAGCAGCAAUGCGCUAGAAGAGGAGUCCGCGGCUGAUUAGCUAGUUGGUAAGGUAAUGGCUUACCAAGGCAACGAUCGGUAGCCGGCCUGAGAGGGCACACGGCCACACUGGCACUGAAACACGGGCCAG